rnacentral:rRNA from 1 species
UACAGAGGUGGCAAGCGUUGUUCGGAAUUACUGGGCGUAAAGAGCUCGUAGGCGGUGUGUCGCGUCGGCCGUGAAAACCUGCAGCUUAACUGUGGGCUUGCGGUCGAUACGGGCAUCACUGGAGUUCGGCAGGGGAGACUGGAAUUCCUGGUGUAGCGGUGAAAUGCGCAGAUAUCAGGAGGAACACCGGUGGCGAAGGCGGGUCUCUGGGCCGAUACUGACGCUGAGGAGCGAAAGCGUGGGGAGCGAACAGG